CAAUCUUUGUUGGAGAAGCAGGGUACGUGCAACCACAGAAAUAACCGUUUCGGUUUAUUUAUUGCGCGUACUCUCCCUCUCCAACACGGGUUU
rnacentral:pre_miRNA from 11 species